GUUGCUUCACCGCCCAACAUUAUAUGCCAUACAGGGUCUCCAUCUAAUUCUCCGUUCUCUUGCAAGAUAGAUCCUAGGAAGCGAAAACGGUCGCUCUUUGGUAUUUCCGUGUCUCCGAUCCUCACCCCUAACUCAUUUUGGCCUCCAUUUGCACUGAACUUGCACUCCAUAUAUUCUGUCUUUGAUCGGCUUAGGCGAAGACCUGUAGAUUCCAACACUUCUCUCCAAAGGUUAAGCUUCGCAUUUACCCCAUCCUAAGUUUCAUCUAUCAACGUUAUAUCGUCUGCGAAGGCAUACACCAAGGAAUAUCAUCUUGAAUAUAUCAUGUUAACUCAUCCAUUACCAAUGCAAAAAGGUAAGGAUUUAAGGAUUGUUGAUGCACAAAAUCAGUGAGGACUUUGGUACAACAGAAAGUAUUUAAGUUUGUGACCUUCGCUAGAUUGCUCUGGUCAUUAGUGUGGAUAAGUAUGUAAAAGGAUAGAGACAGGAAAGCAAAACACAAAAUGUACGUGGUUCACCCAGAUUGACUACGUCCACGGAGUAGAGGAGUUCUCAUUAAUUGUGAAAGGUUUACACAUAGGUUCAAGCUCUCCUUUAGUGAGAACAAGUGAAUGAUUUAGUACAAAUGAUCUUCUCUGAGAGUACUCUUCCUCCAUCCAGGGGUGGUAUCUUUAAUCGGUGGAGAUGCACAAGGUAAUGUAUCAAUUUCACUUGAAGCUUAUUUGUAGUUUCAGGCUUGGUCAAGCGCGAUACAAACCAUGUAGUAGGAGUCCCCCAAGUAGCCGAGCUAGGAGAUCUGCUGAAAGAGGUGGCAGACAAGGUAAGCAAUCAGAGCUCCAAGCAAUCAGUCUCAGAUCAAAAGUUUGAUUUCGAGUUCCGACUGAUUGUUCUCAUUCUCCCUAUCUUGCCGGCAGCAUGAAGGAUAAAGAGAAGAAAAAGGAGGAGAUAUGAUAUGAGAUACUUUUGCUUUUGAAGAAGUAACUUUCCACAGGCUUAUUCUUGAACUGGGUUGGAGGGUUUGCUGGUUUCCUCCACACUGAAGAAUUUGAGGGUCAAAACAGGUCCAUCAAAUUUAGAGUACGUUCGACCCUGAUGAUAUGGGAUAUUUUUGCUGUUACGCUUAUCUCCACAUGUUUCCUUGUAUCCUUCUCACUUGCCCUAUCUGUUCCUCAGGCAGAUGUGGUAUCUUCUCUACAGGCAUAAGAUGUUGAAAAUGAGUACUCGAGAGCAAUGCCAGGUAAGUAAUCAGGUAAGGGGUUCCAGGCAGUCAGUUUCUGACCAAAAGCUUGAUUCCAAGUGCUGACUGAUUGCUCUCUUUCUCCUUGUCUUGCAGGUAAGAACAAGGCCAAAGGAAAAGACAGGGAAAAAACAUGAUAUGGGAUACUCUUGGUUUUAACCCUGAUGAUAUGAGAUAUUCUUGCUCUGGUGUAGCUUGUUUGCAAAGGUAUUAUCGGGGAGAAAGAAGGCUGAGUAUUUCGAGAGGCUUCGUUAGGAGUGCCCUCUCAGAUAUGAGGAAGGGUUGAGCAUUUUUGCAGGUCUGCCUGCCCGUUGGGGAUGGAGGUCGACAUAUAUAGGAGUCUCCCUAACAACAAGUAGUAAUGCUAUUCCUUUACUCUUCUUGGUCAUAGCCAUGUAGUGGGAGCUGCAAGCUUCACGUGUUUUAACUUUGCCAGAGUACUUUGAAAAAGUGGUCCUGUCGGGGAUCUGGCUCUCGAGAUUCGGAGAGCGGUGCCUCUUCGAUUUUUGAGAAGGCAAUCCUGCUGGGAGUCUGGUUCUUGAGGUCAUAGCAAUGUAGUGGGAGUUGCAAGCUUCACGUGUUUUAACUUUGUCAGAGCACUUUUUUUUUAGAAGACUUUGUCAGAGCACUUUGAAAAAGUGGUCUGUGGUAUCUGGAAAGCUGAUGUUGCGUGUGAAGAUUACAGACAAGCUUUAUCCAAGGAAAUCUGGCUCUUGCGUGUCACGUGCUUUCUACUUCACCAGAAAUCUUCGACAGAUUGCCCGUAAUUUCCGCAAAGCUGAGUGUGCAUGUGACAGGUACUGACAAGGCUGAAAAAGUAGGUGCCUCUUCGAUUUCUAAGAUCGGCCCUCGUGGUUUCUGAGCAAGCCCAGCUUUUGAGAAAGCAAGCGCCGCUUCGAUUUCUGAGAUCAGCUUCUCGACAAAUUGCCCGUGAUUUCUGCAAAGCUAGGUAUGCAUUCUUCGAUUUCUGAGCAGGCUCCUCUUCUAAUAAAGCAGACGCCUCUUCUGAGAAAGCAGGCGCCUCUUCGAUUUCUGAAGCUCCGUCGCGUGCUGCUUUUUAUAGAGGUAUGCAUUACGUUUCAAAGCACACUUGCAUUGCCACAUGUAGAAAUUCCCUUCUUGCACUUCUAAAAUCUUGAUUUGUCUGACCUCUUCUUCAACACCUCAGGAAAAUGGUUGGCCCCUCUGACCGUCGUUUUGACGUGAACUUUGGUGAAUAGGUGGACAUGCCUCCUCAAGACAACAAGGCGCCCAUCCUUCAUAUCCCCUACUGGUCCUCUUAACGUUGGGGAUUCGGUGAUGAAGAAUGAUAUGACCACUACGGUGGUGGCCAGGAACCUUGUCACUCCCAAAGAUAACAGACUACUUUCCAAACGGUCUGAUGAGUUAGCUGUUAAGGAUUCUCUGGCUCUCAGUGUGCAGUGUGCAGGUUCUGUGUCUAAUAUGGCCCAACGCCUAUUUGCUCGAACCCGUCAAGUUGAAUCAUUGGCGGCUGAAGUGAUGAGUCUCAAACAGGAUAUUAGAAGGCUCAAGCAUGAGAAUAAACAGUUACACAGGCUCGCACAUGACUAUGCUACAAACAUGAAGAGGAAGAUUGACCAGAUGCAGGAAUCUGAUGGUCAGAUUUUACUUGAUUAUCAAAGGUUUGUGGGUUUGUUCCAAAGGCAUUUGCUUUCGUCUUCUGGGGCUGUACUGCGUAAUAAAGCUCUAAAUGAUCAACCUCCGAUGCCUCCUCCUUCUAGGGUUCUGUCCAGUACUGAGGCUCCGAAUGAUCACCCUCCGGUGCCUUCUCUUUCUGGGGCUCUACCGACUGCUGAGACUUCUCCUAAGCAACCUUUGUGAAGGCUCCCUCUUGUUUGUUUAUUUUGGCCCAUGUAUAUGUACAUAGUUGUAACUUAUCGGAGAUAUCAAUAAAUAAGCUUUGCUUCAUUUCAACGUAUUGUGUUAAAUACACCAAUGCCUUAUGCACUAAGUUCUUUGAAUUUUUUCUUUUGUUGAAGCUUGUAUGUUGAAGCUUUGUGAGUGAAGCAUGUAGGUUGAGGUAGGGUUCCCUUAAUUUCUCGAGUGAGGAAAACUUCUCGGUUGGAGACUUGAAAAAUCCAAGUCACUGAGUGGGGUCGGCUAUAUGAAUCCUAGAACGCCAUUGUGUUCGGUCUUGUGUCAUGUUCGCCGUUAGAUCCAAGUACUCUAAGUCUUUUCUUAUAGUCUCUUCCAAAGUUUUCCUAGGUCUUCCUCUACCCCUUCGGCCCUGAACCUCUGUCCCGUAGUCGCAUCUUCUAACCGGAGCGUCAGUAGGCCUUCUUUGCACAUGUCCAAACCACCGUAACCGAUUUUCUCUCAGCUUUCCUACAAUUUCGACUACUCCUACUUUACCUCGUAUAUCCUCAUUCCUAAUCUUAUCCUUUCUCGUGUGCCCACACAUCCAACGAAGCAUCCUCAUCUCCGCUACACCCAUUUUAUGUAUGUGUUAAUGCUUCACCGCCCAACAUUCUGUGCCAUACAGCAUCGCUGGCCUUAUUGUUGUCUUAUAAAAUUUUCCCUUGAGCUUCAGUGGCAUACGUCGGUCACACAACACACUGAAUGCAUUCUUCCACUUCAUUCAUCCAGCUUGUAUUCUAUGGUUGAGAUCUCCAUCUAAUUCUCCGUUCUUUUGCAAGAUAGAUCCUAGGUAGCGAAAGCAGUCGCUCUUUGGUAUUUCCUGAUCUCUAAUCCUCACCCCUAACUCAUUUUGGACCCCAUUUGCACUUAACUUGCACUCCAUAUAUUCUGUUUUUGAUCGGCUUAGGCGAAGACCUUUAGAUUCCAACACUUCUCUCCAAAGGUUAAGCUUCGCAUUUACUCCUUCCUGAGUUUCAUCUAUCAACACUAUAUCGUCUGCGAAAAGCAUACACCAAGGAAUAUCAUCUUGAAUAUGUCCUGUUAACUCAUCCAUUACCAACGCAAAAAGGUAAGGACUUAAGGAUGAGCCUUGAUGUAAUCCUACAGUUAUGGGGAAGCUUUCGGUUUGUCCUUCAUGAGUUCUUACGGCAGUCUUUGCUCCUUCAUACAUAUCCUUUAUAGCUUGGAUAUAUGCUACUCGUACUCCUUUCUUCUCUAAAAUCCUCCAAAGAAUGUCUCUUGAGACCCUAUCAUACGCUUUUUCCAAAUCUAUAGAGAUCAUGUGUAAA
rnacentral:lncRNA from 1 species